CCGCCGGCGACCGGCGCACGGGUGAGUAACACGUAUGCAACCUGGCCGUGACAGAUGGAUAACCGGGAGAAAUCCCGCCUAAUACAACAUAAUGCCGGGAGGGGACAUCCCCUGCCGGUCAAAGGGGGCGACCCCGGUCAUGGAUGGGCAUGCGGCGCAUUAGGUAGUUGGUGGGGCAGCGGCCCACCAAGCCGACGAUGCGUAGGGGUUCUGAGAGGAAGGUCCCCCACAUUGGAACUGAGACACGGUCCAAACUCCUACGGGAGGCAGCAG
rnacentral:rRNA from 1 species